rnacentral:rRNA from 1 species
UACGUAGGGGGCAAGCGUUGUCCGGAAUCAUUGGGCGUAAAGAGCGUGUAGGCGGCCCGGUAAGUCCGCUGUGAAAGUCCAGGGCUCAACCCUGGGAUGCCGGUGGAUACUGUCGGGCUCGAGUCCGGAAGAGGAGUGUGGAAUUCCUGGUGUAGCGGUGAAAUGCACAGAUAUCAGGAGGAACACCAAUGGCGAAGGCAGCACUCUGGGACGUGACUGACGCUGAGACGCGAAAGCGUGGGGAGCAAACAGG